rnacentral:rRNA from 1 species
UAGUGGCGCAGGGUGAGUAAUACGUGGGUAAUCUGUCUUUGAGAUCGGGAUAACAUUUCGAAAGAGAUGCUAAUACCGGAUAAGACCAUAGAGGCUUCGGCCUCAGCGGUAAAAGAUGGCCUCUCAUCAUGAAGCUACCGCUCGAAGAGGAGUCCGCGUUCUAUUAGCUAGUUGGUAGGGUAAUGGCCUACCAAGGCGAUGAUGGAUAGCUGGUCUGAGAGGAUGGUCAGCCACACUGGGAUUGAGAUACUGCCCAGACUCCUACGGGAGGCUGCAGUCGAGAAUCUUUCGCAAUGGGGGAAACCCUGACGAAGCGACGCCGCGUGAGUGAUGAAGGCCUUCGGGUUGUAAAGCUCUGUCACUUGGGAGGAGGAUUCUUGAUACCAAUAAUGUCAAGGGUUGACAGUACCAAGAGAGGAAGCCCCGGCUAACUCCGUGCCAGCAGCCGCGGUAAUACGGAGGGGGCGAGCGUUGUUCGGAUUUAUUGGGUGUAGAGGGUGUGUAGGCGGUCUUGCAAGUCAGGUGUGAAAUCCCUUGGCUCAACCAAGGAAGUGUACUUGAAACUGCAUGACUUGAGUAUAAGAGAGGAGAGUGAAAUUCCCGGUGUAGAGGUGAAAUUCGUAGAUAUCGGGAGGAACACCAGUGGCGAAGGCGACUCUCAGGCUUAAUACUGACGCUGAAACACGAAAGCUAGGGGAGCGAACGGGAUUAGAUACCCCGGGUAGUUCCUAGCCGUAAACGAUGGGGCACUAAGGUGGUAGGGGGGGUAAUAAAACUUCG